rnacentral:rRNA from 1 species
CGAACGGGUGAGUAAUGCGUGACCAACCUGCCCCAUGCUCCAGAAUAAGCUACUUGGAAACGGGUGGUAAUGCUGGAUGCUCCAACUUGACGCAUGUCUUGUUGGGAAAGUGUUUAGUGGCAUGGGAUGGGGUCGCGUCCUAUCAGCUUGUAGGCGGGGUAAUGGCCCACCUAGGCUUCGACGGGUAGCCGGCCUGAGAGGGCGGACGGCCACAUUGGGACUGAGAUACGGCCCAGACUCCUACGGGAGGCAGCAGUA